GACGAACGCUGGCGGCGUGCUUAACACAUGCAAGUCGAACGAGUGUCGAACGGGGGAGUAACACGUGGGUGACCUUCCCUGCACUUCGGGGAAAGCCUGGGGAAAUGGGUCUAAUACCGGAUAGUGCGGUAUGGGGCCGCGGCAUAGCAGCUUGUUGUGUGGGUAAUGGCUACCAAGGCGCGACGGGUAGCCGGCCUGAGAGGGUGGACGGCCACAUUGGGACUGAGACACGGCCCAGACUCCUACGGGAGGCAGCAGUGGGGAAUAUUGCACAAUGGGCGGAAGCCUGAUGCAGCCAUGCCGCGUGUAUGAAGAAGGCCUUAGGGUUGUAAAGUACUUUCAGCGGGGAGGCGUUACCCGCAGAAGAAGCACCGGCUAACUCCGUGCCAGCAGCCGCGGUAAUAC
rnacentral:rRNA from 1 species